rnacentral:lncRNA from 1 species
CUUCAGGUUACCCCAAAGUAACAUGGAAUAGGAUCAGAAGAAAACUAAUGAAAUCACAGAUUUCAACCUGAAAGAUAUUAUAGAGGUUAUCUAAUCAUACCCUCUCAUUUUGUAGAUGGGGAAACUGAGUUCCACAUAGGGGAAAUAGUUUGCUUUGUGUUACACAAGUGAAUGAGGAUUUGAAUCAGCCUCCUCUGGCUGUCAUUCCAACAUUCUUUUCUACUACAGAAAGAGAAAGUAAUUUCAUGGGAGGAAAGUAUAGUUUUCUUAUUCAUGUUUCUAUUUAUGGAUCAUCAAAAGCUUUAAUUGUGAAUAUUCCCUUACUUCCUUUCAUAGUGCUUUGCACAUGGAAGGAAUUAAAUAAAUGAUAGCCAAAUGAGUCAAUGAAGCAUUGGUUAAUGGAUAUAUAGGAACCACAGAAUAAUAAUUUAAAAAAAACUCAGCUUUCUCCAUCAAAGUAUGACUUAAUCAUGUUUGUAUUUCUAACAGGUCAAGAUGACUUCGAUUUAGCAGAUGCACUUGAUGAUAAUGAGGACAUCACAAGGAGACCUCCCCCAGCUACCAAGAAACCAGGAUCAGGUUGGUUAUAUCAUUAACUGUUUGAAAACAUCUUAAAUUUCAAAGUUGCAAAAUGAUGGUUUAUGCUAGACAAGAGUACAAUCUGACAGUCACAUAUCUGGAUUGAGCUUUACAAACAAGUUGUAAAUUAAAAUUAACUUAAUAAAAACUAGGUAUUUAGCA